GCCCCCAUCGUCUAACGGUUAGGACACCAGUCUUUCAAGCUGGCGGUAGGAGUUCGAUUCUCCUUGGGGGCG
rfam:Gemmatimonas sp. SG8_38_2 WOR_8-12_16885, whole genome shotgun sequence.